GGGUGAGUAAUGUCUGGGAAACUGCCUGAUGGAGGGGGAUAACUACUGGAAACGGUAGCUAAUACCGCAUAACGUCGCAAGACCAAAGAGGGGGACCUUCGGGCCUCUUGCCAUCAGAUGUGCCCAGAUGGGAUUAGCUAGUAGGUGGGGUAACGGCUCACCUAGGCGACGAUCCCUAGCUGGUCUGAGAGGAUGACCAGCCACACUGGAACUGAGACACGGUCCAGACUCCUACGGGAGGCAGCAGUGGGGAAUAUUGCACAAUGGGCGCAAGCCUGAUGCAGCCAUGCCGCGUGUAUGAAGAAGGCCUUCGGGUUGUAAAGUACUUUCAGCGGGGAGGAAGGUGUUGUGGUUAAUAACCAUAGCAAUUGACGUUACCCGCAGAAGAAGCACCGGCUAACUCCGUGCCAGCAGCCGCGGUAAUACGGAGGGUGCAAGCGUUAAUCGGAAUUACUGGGCGUAAAGCGCACGCAGGCGGUCUGUCAAGUCGGAUGUGAAAUCCCCGGGCUCAACCUGGGAACUGCAUUCGAAACUGGCAGGCUAGAGUCUUGUAGAGGGGGGUAGAAUUCCAGGUGUAGCGGUGAAAUGCGUAGAGAUCUGGAGGAAUACCGGUGGCGAA
rnacentral:rRNA from 1 species